rnacentral:tRNA from 1 species
GGGUAUAGCUCAGUGGUAGAGUGUGUGCUUAGCAUGCACGAGGUCCUAGGUUCAAUCCCCAGUACCUCCA